UUCAUCUUCUCGAAUAUUGUCAAUGUAAAGACCAAGCUGAUGCUCGAGUGAUCUCCGAUCGACAUGAGUAAAAUCUUGUGGAUAAAACUCAGACAAUCUCAGAACUUUCAACUGAUCAAACUCAUGAAACGAAUCAAUAGGGCUUAAAGAAGCAACACAACUAAGUAAUUCAGUGUUUACCUCAUCGAAACGAUCAUUAAACUCUUGAAUUUGCAUAUCUAAU
rnacentral:sRNA from 1 species